CCGAGUUAACAACUCCCAAACCCCCAUGUGAACCUAUACCAAAACGUUGCUUCGGCGGGAGCGCCCCGGCUCGGCCCGGAACCAGGCGCCCGCCGAGGACCCCCUAAACCAUGUUUACUACAGUUUCUUCUGAGUGGCAAACGCAAAAUAAAUUA
rnacentral:misc_RNA from 1 species